rnacentral:rRNA from 1 species
AUGGGCGAAAGCCUGAACCAGCGAUUCUGCGUGAAGGAUGAAGCCUCGCGGGGUGUAAACUUCUUUUAUGGGGGAAGACGAAUGACGGUACCCCACGAAUAAGGGACGGCUAACUACGUGCCAGCAGCCGCGGUAAU